GCCUAAAGCGUCCGUAGCCGGCUUUGUAAGUUUUCGGUUAAAUCUAUAUGCUCAACAUAUAGGCUGCCGGAAAUACUGUAAAGCUAGGGAGUGGGAGAGGUAGACGGUACUCCGUAGGAAGGGGUAAAAUCCUUUGAUCUAUGGAUGACCACCUGUGGCGAAGGCGGUCUACCAGAACACGUCCGGCGGUGAGGGAUGAAAGCUGGGGGAGCAAACCGGAUUAGAUACCCGGGUAGUCCCAGCUGUAAACUAUGCAAACUCAGUGAUGCAUUGGCUUGUGGCCAAUGCAGUGUUGCAGGGAAGCCGUUAAGUUUGCCGCCUGGGAAGUACGUACGCAAGUAUGAAACUUAAAGGAAUUGGCGGGGGAGCACCACAAGGGGUGAAGCCUGCGGUUCAAUUGGAGUCAACGCCAGAAAUCUUACCCGGAGAGACAGCAGAAUGAAGGUCAAGCUGAAGACUUUACCAGACAAGCUGAGAGGUGGUGCAUGGCCGUCGCCAGCUCGUGCCGUGAGAUGUCCUGUUAAGUCAGGUAACGAGCGAGAUCCCUGCCUCUAGUUGCCACCAUUACUCUCAGGAGUAGUGGGGCGAAUUAGCGGGACCGCCGCAGUUAAUGCGGAGGAAGGAAGGGGCCACGGCAGGUCAGUAUGCCCCGAA
rnacentral:rRNA from 1 species